UACGGAGGGUGCAAGCGUUAUCCGGAUUCACUGGGUUUAAAGGGUGCGUAGGUGGGUUGGUAAGUCAGUGGUGAAAUCUUCGAGCUUAACUCGGAAACUGCCGUUGAUACUAUCAAUCUUGAAUCUCGUGGAGGUAAGCGGAAUAUGUCAUGUAGCGGUGAAAUGCUUAGAUAUGACAUAGAACACCGAUAGCGAAGGCAGCUUGCUACACGAGUAUUGACACUGAGGCACGAAAGCGUGGGGAUCAAACAGG
rnacentral:rRNA from 1 species